rnacentral:rRNA from 1 species
UACGUAGGGGGCAAGCGUUGUCCGGAUUUAUUGGGCGUAAAGAGCGUGUAGGCGGCCAUACAGGUCCGUUGUGAAAACUGGAGGCUUAACCUCCAGACGUCGAUGGAAACCGUAUGGCUAGAGUCCGGAAGAGGAGAGUGGAAUUCCUGGUGUAGCGGUGAAAUGCGCAGAUAUCAGGAAGAACACCCGUGGCGAAGGCGGCUCUCUGGGCCACUACUGACGCUGAGAAGCGAAAGCAUGGGGAGCGAACAGG